rfam:Lactobacillus mucosae LM1, complete genome.
GUUUAUCUUCAAGGCAGGGUGCAAUUCCCGACCGGCGGUAAAAGCCCGCAACCCGAUGACGUCCUUCGUUAUCGGUGGAACCUGGCGCAAUUCCAGGUGCCGACAGUACAGUCUGGUAUAUAGAAGAUUUUC